AUUGAACGCUGGCGGCAGGCCUAACACAUGCAAGUCGAGCGAGCGGCGGACGGGUGAGUAAUGAAUGGGGAUCUGCCUGAUGGAGGGGGAGAACUACUGGAAACUGUGGCUAAUACCGCAUACUAUCGGAUGAACCCAUUUGGGAUUGGCUAGUAGGUGUGGUAAAGGCUCACUUAGGCGACGAUAUCUAGCUGGUCUGAGAGGAUGAGCAGCCACACUGGGACGGAGACACGGCCCAGACUCCUACGGGAGGCAGCAGUGGGGAAUAUUGCGGAAGGGGCGGAGGCCAGAUGCAGCUAUGCCGCGUGUAUGAAGAAGGACUUAGGGUUGUAAAGUACUUUCAGCGGGGAGGCGUUACCCACAGAAGAAGCACCGGCUAAAUCCGUGCCAGCCGCCGCGGUAAUUC
rnacentral:rRNA from 1 species